UUCCGUAGGGUGAACCUGCGGAGGGAUCAUUACCGAGUUUACAACUCCCAAACCCCAAUGUGAACGUUACCAAUCUGUUGCCUCGGCGGGAUUCUCUGCCCCGGGCGCGUCGCAGCCCCGGAUCCCAUGGCGCCCGCCGGAGGACCAACUCAAACUCUUUUUUCUCUCCGUCGCGGCUUCCGUCGCGGCUCUGUUUUACCUUUGCUCUGAGCCUUUCUCGGCGACCCUAGCGGGCGUCUCGAAAAUGAAUCAAAACUUUCAACAACGGAUCUCUUGGUUCUGGCAUCGAUGAAGAACGCAGCGAAAUGCGAUAAGUAAUGUGAAUUGCAGAAUUCAGUGAAUCAUCGAAUCUUUGAACGCACAUUGCGCCCGCCAGUAUUCUGGCGGGCAUGCCUGUCCGAGCGUCAUUUCAACCCUCGAACCCCUCCGGGGGGUCGGCGUUGGGGAUCGGCCCCUCACCGGGCCGCCCCCGAAAUACAGUGGCGGUCUCGCCGCAGCCUCUCCUGCGCAGUAGUUUGCACACUCGCACCGGGAGCGCGGCGCGGCCACAGCCGUAAAACACCCCAAACUCUGAAAUGUUGACCUCGGAUCAGGUAGGAAUACCCGCUGAACUUAAGCAUAUCAAUAAGCGGAGGA
rnacentral:rRNA from 1 species